rnacentral:rRNA from 1 species
UCGAGAGUCGUAAUGGACUCGGCGGACUGCUCAGUAACACGUGGAUAACGUGCCCUUAAGAGGAGGAUAAUCUCGGGAAACUGAGGAUAAUACUCCAUAGUCCAUGGAAUCUGGAAUGAUCCAUGGAUGAAAGUUCCGGCGCUUAAGGAUCGGUCUGCGGCCUAUCAGGUUGUAGUGGGUGUAACGUACCUACUAGCCGAUGACGGGUAUGGGCCUUGAGAGAGGGAGCCCAGAGUUGGAUUCUGAGACACGAAUCCAGGCCCUACGGGGCGCAGCAGUCGCGAAAACUUCACAAUGGGGGCAACCCCGAUGAGGGAAUUCCUAAUGCUAGCACAUUUGUGUUAGCUUUUCUUUAGCGUAGAUAACUAGAGGAAUAAGGGCUGGGAAAGACGGGUGCCAGCCGCCGCGGUAAUACCUGCAGCCCAAGUGGUGGUCGAGUUUAUUGAGUCUAAAACGUUCGUAGCCGGUUCGGUAAAUCUUUGGGUAAAUCGGAGGGCUUAACCUUCCGACUUCCGAGGAGACUGCCGAACUUGGGACCGGGAGAGGCUAGAGGUACUUCUGGGGUAGGGGUAAAAUCCUGUAAUCCUAGAAGGACCACCGGUGGCGAAGGCGUCUAGCUAGAACGGAUCCGACGGUGAGGGACGAAGCCCUGGGUCGCAAACGGGAUUAGAUACCCCGGUAGUCCAGGGUGUAAACGCUGCAGACUUGGUGUUGGAGGCCCUUUGGGGGCAUUCAGUGCCGGAGAGAAGUUGUUAAGUCUGCUACUUGGGGAGUACGUCCGCAAGGAUGAAACUUAAAGGAAUUGGCGGGGGAGCACCGCAACGGGAGGAGCGUGCGGU